rnacentral:rRNA from 1 species
AUUGAACGCUGGCGGCAGGCCUAACACAUGCAAGUCGAGCGGACGAAGGGAGCUUGCUCCUGGAUUCAGCGGAGGACGGGUGAGUAAUGCCUAGGAAUCUGCCUGGUAGUGGGGGAUAACGUCCGGAAACGGGCGCUAAUACCGCAUACGUCCUGAGGGUGAAAGUGGGGGAUCUUCGGACCUCACGCUAUCAGAUGAGCCUAGGUCGGAUUAGCUAGUUGGUGGGGUAAAGGCCUACCAAGGCGACGAUCCGUAACUGGUCUGAGAGGAUGAUCAGUCACACUGGAACUGAGACACGGUCCAGACUCCUACGGGAGGCAGCAGUGGGGAAUAUUGGACAAUGGGCGAAAGCCUGAUCCAGCCAUGCCGCGUGUGUGAAGAAGGUCUUCGGAUUGUAAAGCACUUUAAGUUGGGAGGAAGGGCAGUAAGUUAAUACCUUGCUGUUUUGACGUUACCAACAGAAUAAGCACCGGCUAACUUCGUG